AUUGAACGCUGGCGGCGUGCUUAACACAUGCAAGUCGAGCGGUAACAGGUGUAGCAAUACAUGCUGACGAGCGGCGAACGGGUGAGUAAUGCUUCGGAAUCUUCCUAGUAGUGGGGAAUAACCUGGGGAAACUCAGGCUAAUACCGCAUACGACCUACGGGUGAAAGCAGGGGAUCGCAAGACCUUGCGCUAUUAGAUGAGCCGAAGUCGGAUUAGCUAGUUGGUGAGGUAAAGGCUCACCAAGGCGACGAUCCGUAGCUGGUCUGAGAGGACGACCAGCCACACUGGGACUGAGACACGGCCCAGACUCCUACGGGAGGCAGCAGUGGGGAAUAUUGGACAAUGGGGGCAACCCUGAUCCAGCGACGCCGCGUGUGUGAAGAAGGCCUGCGGGUUGUAAAGCACUUUUAGUGGGGAUGAAAAGCCAAGGGCUAAUACCCUUUGGUCUUGACCUAACCCAAAGAAAAAGCACCGGCUAACUCUGUGCCAGCAGCCGCGGUAAAG
rnacentral:rRNA from 1 species